rnacentral:pre_miRNA from 1 species
AAUGGGAUAGCUGGGUCAAAUGGUGGUUCCAUUCCAAGUUUUCUAAGGAAUCUCCAUACUGCUUUCUAGGUUGGUUGUUCCAAUUUGCAGUCCUACCAGCAAU